CUCUUUUCACAUUUGCCCCUCGUUUUAGAGCAAUAAUAGAAAUGUAGCAGUCGAUUGGCUACAAAGAUUUAACGUUUUUAUUUUCUUCUUCUACUUUUCUCCUAAUUUCGUCUUCCUCCAUCUUCUUUCCCAUUUCUUCUAAAUUGGCCUAAUGAAUUCGGCUUCAAUUCCUUAUUAAACAACCUUUCAAUUCAAUGGAUGAUUUUCUUUGGGUUUUUUUGAUGGGCAAGAAAAAACCUAGAAAACUAAGAAGAUUGCAACAGUCGCCAUAUUUUGAGGACUCCACCUUCAAAUGAGUCGAUGAUGGUAUAUCAUUCUUCGAGUACGUUUCCGUCUAACCUUUAAUUUAGCGAUUGAGUUCGUUUUUUGUCUCAUUUUUUUAAAAAUCAAUGAUGUAGAUUAUCUUCAAUGGUCCUAAAUGGUGAAACAAAUGAAGGAAUCCGACGACGAGAAAAAAAGGGAGGAUGAGUAGCCUGGUCGUUUUACUACUGGUGACUCCGUGAGAAUGAAGAAAUCAGUUGGCAAAGUUCAAUUGAAAUAGGGACAAUUUGGGUAUUUAAAAGUUUACCGUGUUUUUCAAUUUUUUUUUGGUUAUAUUAUGUAAAUAGUUUGUCCUUCUCGAUAUUUGAUCAUGAUGUUCCAUAGUUAUUUUAAUUUUAUCACAUGUGUUCACAUUAAAUAGAACACUAUAUCUAGAAAACUUUGUUAGAUAUAUUUUAAUUAAACUAGUUCAUAACAUAUGCACA
rnacentral:lncRNA from 1 species